rnacentral:misc_RNA from 1 species
ACGAGUUAGGGUCUUUUAUAGGCUCGACCUCCCAACCCUUUGUUUACUUGACCCACGUUGCUUCGGCGAGCCCGUCUCUCCUCCUCUCGGGGGGGAACAGACCGCCGGGGGGCCUUCAAACCGUCCUCUGGCCCGCGCUCGUCGGUGGCCAACCUUUACAAAUUCUUAAUUAAACGUGUCUACUCUGAGUACUAUUUUUUAAUUAAAAGCA